rnacentral:lncRNA from 1 species
UAGGAUCAACGGAUUGAUUAACCUAGUCUAUUUGAUCGUAUGUAAAUAUGGACAAAAUCGAAAAGCACCGUACGAAUUAUGAGUAAAGAUUAAACCUAAUAGUAGUACGGGUUCAUCUCAUAAGAAAGAGCGGAACAAGAUGUCAAAAUGAGGCUUCUUGAUUCAAUUUGGUGACAGAAGAUCCCUAUUCUACAUUUAGCAGGUGGCUCUUCAUGUAUGUGUGCUAAUGAAGUUUAAGUUCUUUGUUUUGUCUCCUAUGAAAGAAAGACUGUUUGUGACCUACAAGAAGGAUUAGGGGCAGAUAUAUUAUAGAUCUUGUUGAAUGAAGGAAAAGAGCUAUGAUGCAUAGAUCUUUUAUUGUCAUUGAAUGGUGCAGGUUGACUUUGUCCACAAUACUAAUGAAAAGGAACUUUGAGAAGCAGUGGGAAGAUACUGGAAAUACGUCUUAUCCAAAAUUGUAUGUGUAGGCUACUGCAGGAGAUGAUUCACAUUUUGUACAUCAAUAUCAUCCUUUGUGUAAGUAUAUUUUCUUUCUCAUUUAAUACAGUGUUUGUUAUUUUCCUUAAUUUGUGCACUAGCACACACAGGCCUGGAGGACUUUUAAGCCCGGUUGACCAUAGUUAAGGGUCUAAAAGGUUCUUGUCUGUGAUCAGCCGGGCUUAAAAGUCCUCCGGGCUUGUGUGCGUAUGUGUACAAGAAAAAAGGAGCUGAAUAAAUAACAAGUGCUUUCUGCUAUUAUUUGUCUAUAAUAAGAUACUGCUGUUUGUUAACCUCGUAUGAUGUAAUGGAAUUUAUUGUAUAGAAGACAAGAUUGUUCUUGAUAUCUGUGUGAAAAUAAAGGUUUAUCUCAAUUUAGAAACAUUAACAUGUUAAUUCAUCAUGUUUUGUUAAGGAGUGAGUCUCUGUAGUUAAUUAGCACCUAUUUAUUAGAAAGAAAUAUACAUUUAAAUAAUUGAUCAGGAUAAUCUUUAAUAUGUUUCACAUUCUUGUGUACAGAUAUAUCUGAUAUAUAUAAGCAAUUUCUUUCUAUUUACAUCAGACAAUAAUAACAGAACUGACAAAAAGAUGUCUCCAUCAUCUAGUUAAAGUAGGUAUCAUAGCUUGAGCCACAUGAUUUAAUGGUAGUGUACAAACCAAAUGUACUUGCCAGGACUGUGUUAAUAAAGUAUAUUAAAAUACUUCUAACAAGUUCUCACACAGUUUAUUUAUCUGACUGCCACACUAUCUAUUGUUAUUACCUUUUUGUGAUAUUGCAAAAAAAUGUACUCUUACACUUCAUUACAUGAGCUUGUAAUCUUAAAUUGGGUCUUCCAUCAUACCUACUUAUUUGUUACCAGUCUUUGUAUUUAAAUGUGUAACUACCCUUUAGUUACUGGCUCAGCUUAUGUUACACUUGAUGCAAUAGAAAAGAACAUAAUAUGACGUUAACUGAUCAGUAUUUGAAAAGAAAGAGAUUACCUUUUUCCAUAAAAGAAAAUAAUAUAUACAACUAGCCAAAGUCAAAUCUGAUGUAUCUCUGUGGGGGCCAGUGAAUAAAUCCACUUUGUUAGUAUUACAUAUCUGUGUACAGGCAAAUUCAAUCUAUAAAAAUCAAAAAUAUUUAUAUGGUUAGAACUAAGUAGCACUUUAGUACAGUCAUGGGUAAACAAGUACCCUAGGUACAUAAUCACCUAAACUAAAAAUAUGUUAUUAUUCAACACUAGAUGUUUGGCCUUUAAUGCUUUUUAGUACCAAUUAAGCCAAUUGAUAUAAUGAUUUUGUUUCUGUGGGAUAUAUAUAUAUAUCAAUUAAUCAUAAUUCUUUAAGGCUCCUUCUUGAUUUGGUUUUACACUUAAUUCUGAAAGAUUUAUGACAAGAUGAAAGUAGUUAAAAUUUAUAGGAAUUAUCUGAGAAACAGGGAAGUCUAUGUCUAAUGCAGGCAGUGAUUUACUUACUUUAUAAAUUGAACUAAUCACCUAUGACUGUAACAACAAUACCAUAGAAAUGGAAAAGAUAAAGUCACUUAUUAUUUUUGGUUAUGUGCAUGGAACAUUUAUUAUGGUUAUGCAGACAUCACACAGAAAGUUUAUAGGGUUGCAAAUAUACAAUUUACCAUAAUGAUAUAUGGUGUGACUGAAAUAGAUAAGAAAGUCACAUACUACCACAACAAAGAAUUCACAAGACCAAAUAGAAAUAUGAUUGAAAAUAAAUGUUCUAUAUAGAAUAAUUAAAUUGAGAUUAAAAAAAAUUAUAAUUUACAGCUU